rnacentral:rRNA from 1 species
UACGGGAGGCAGCAGUGGGGAAUAUUGCACAAUGGGCGCAAGCCUGAUGCAGCCAUGCCGCGUGUAUGAAGAAGGCCUUCGGGUUGUAAAGUACUUUCAGUCGUGAGGAAGGUGUUAAGGUUAAUAACCUUAGCAAUUGACGUUAGCGACAGAAGAAGCACCGGCUAACUCCGUGCCAGCAGCCGCGGUAAUACGGAGGGUGCGAGCGUUAAUCGGAAUUACUGGGCGUAAAGGGCACGCAGGCGGUUAAUUAAGUUGGAUGUGAAAUCCCCGGGCUUAACCUGGGAAUGGCAUUCAAGACUGGUUAGCUAGAGUCUUGUAGAGGGGGUAGAAUUCCAUGUGUAGCGGUGAAAUGCGUAGAGAUGUGGAGGAAUACCGGUGGCGAAGGCGGCCCCGUGGACAAAGACUGACGCUCAUGUGCGAAAGCGUGGGGAGCAAACGAGGGAUUAGAUACC